AACCAACGGAGCCACCCAGGCGCCCCCACUUAAAGUGAGAAGAAGAAGGAGAAGGAGAAGGAAGGAAGGCACAGACGAGCCAGAGCUCAGGUUGAGCUCAGGGGACGUUCUUUGGCAUUAGGGACGGAGCUAUCCGGGUCAACAUUUCUUCAGCUCUGCUGUCUAUACCCUUCUCCUCCAACACAAUGGCCCUGUUACUUGAAUGUCUACUGAGGAGUUGAUCCCUUUGGCUUACGACUUUGUUAGUGGAGAUUACAUUGCAAAGACCUAAUCUUUCACUGCUACAUAGCUCUCCAGGUUUUGCUCCGAGUGGAAUCUUGCUCCAUGAAGGAGAAGCUGAGACUUCUAACCCUGAUUUUGCUGCUGGUGGUGACCUGGGGCCUUGCCUUACAUUUUAAUUUGUUCAUCUGUAAAAUGAGUCUGUGUUUAAAAUGAGUUGUGUGGGGCGCUUGAGUGGCUCAGUAGGUUGAGUAUCUGCCU